rnacentral:rRNA from 1 species
AACGAACGCUGGCGGCAUGCCUAACACAUGCAAGUCGAACGAGACCUUCGGGUCUAGUGGCGCACGGGUGCGUAACGCGUGGGAACCUGCCUUUAGGUUCGGAAUAACUCAGAGAAAUUUGAGCUAAUACCGGAUAAUGUCUUCGGACCAAAGAUUUAUCGCCUUUAGAUGGGCCCGCGUUGGAUUAGCUAGUUGGUGAGGUAAAGGCUCACCAAGGCGACGUAUCCAUAGCUGGUCUGAGAGGAUGAUCAGCCACACUGGGACUGAGACACGGCCCAGACUCCUACGGGGGCAGCAGUGGGAAUAUUGGACAAUGGGCGAAAGCCUGAUCCAGCAAUGCCGCGUGAGUGAUGAACGGCCUUAGGGUUGUAAAGCUC